rnacentral:rRNA from 1 species
GAUGAACGCUGGCGGCGUGCCUAAUACAUGCAAGUCGAGCGAACAGACGAGGAGCUUGCUCCUCUGACGUUAGCGGCGGACGGGUGAGUAACACGUGGAUAACCUACCUAUAAGACUGGGAUAACUUCGGGAAACCGGAGCUAAUACCGGAUAACAUGUUGAACCGCAUGGUUCAACAGUGUAAGACGGUCUUGCUGUCACUUAUAGAUGGAUCCGCGCCGCAUUAGUUAGUUGGUAAGGUAACGGCUUACCAAGGCAACGAUGCGUAGCCGACCUGAGAGGGUGAUCGGCCACACUGGAACUGAGACACGGUCCAGACUCCUACGGGAGGCAGCAGUAGGGAAUCUUCCGCAAUGGGCGAAAGCCUGACGGAGCAACGCCGCGUGAGUGAUGAAGGUCUUCGGAUCGUAAAACUCUGUUAUUAGGGAAGAACAAAUGUGUAAGUAACUAUGCACGUCUUGACGGUACCUAAUCAGAAAGCCACGGCUAACUACGUG